rnacentral:rRNA from 1 species
ACGAACGCUGGCGGCGUGCUUAACACAUGCAAGUCGAACGGAAAGGCCCCUUUGUGGGUACUCGAGUGGCGAACGGGUGAGUAACACGUGAGUAACCUGCCCUUGACUUCGGGAUAACUUCAGGAAACUGGGGCUAAUACCGGAUAGGAAUCCUUGCUGCAUGGUGGGGGUUGGAAAGCUUCGGCGGUUUUGGGUGGACUCGCGGCUUAUCAGCUUGUUGGUGGGGUAGUGGCUUACCAAGGCUUUGACGGGUAGCCGGCCUGGGGGGGCGACCGGCCAAAAUGGGAAUGAGAUACGGCCCAGAAUCCUACGGGGGGCAACAGUUGGGAAUAUUGCACCAUGGGCGGAAGCCUGAUGCAGCAACGCCGCGGGCGGGAUGAAGGCCUUCGGGUUGUAAACCGCUUUCAGCAGGGGCGAAGCUUGUGGUGACGGUAACUGCAGAAGAAGCACCGGCUAACUACGUG